rnacentral:lncRNA from 1 species
CAGGUGCAAAGGCCCUGAAGCUGGAGUGUGCUGGCACUGGUGUUUCCAGAGGCUGGAGCCAGGAGCUGAUGGUUCUUUCACACUGUGUAAUGUCUUCUCUGGAAAGGCCUCCUCAUCCAUCGUGCAAAGAACCCGCCCUAGAGCCACCCCAGGAACUAUAGAAAUAGAAUCCUUUGCUAGAACAAUGAUGCCCUACGAGAAGAAAGAAACAGGGACCCUGGAAGCAUGGGUCGGACUUACGGGCGUUACAGAAAGUUCCAUCUCAGAGAA